UACGAAGGGGGCUAGCGUUGCUCGGAAUUACUGGGCGUAAAGGGCGCGUAGGCGGAUGUUUAAGUCAGAGGUGAAAGCCCAGGGCUCAACCUUGGAACUGCCUUUGAUACUGGGCAUCUUGAGUAUGGGAGAGGUGAGUGGAACUCCGAGUGUAGAGGUGAAAUUCGUAGAUAUUCGGAAGAACACCAGUGGCGAAGGCGACUCACUGGCCCACUUACUGACGCUGAGGUGCGAAAGCGUGGGGAGCAAACAGG
rnacentral:rRNA from 1 species